CCGUAAGUCUACAAGUUCUCAUUUCUGCCU
rnacentral:piRNA from 1 species